AGAUACCCUGUUAUACCAGACUUGAAAUAAUAGUAAUCUUGAUUAGUAAUAAUAAAUUAGUUUGAAAUUCAAAGGGUUUGGCGGUAUUUUAGUCUAGUUAGAGGAACCUGUUUUAUAAAUGAUAAUCCGCGUAGUAUCUUUCUUGCUUUGGUUUGAGCUAGUAUACCAUCAUUGUUAGAUAAUUUUAUUUGCCGAAGAAAUUAUUGUAAUUAAUUUGUUUUUAAAUAUAUUAGAUCACGGUGCUGCUAAUGAGCAAGUGAAAAAUGGGUUACAAUAAUCUUAAUUUUAUUACGGAUACGUUAAAUGAAGAUUUACGUUGAAGGUGGAUUUAAUAGUAACAUUAAUUUAAUAUGUAUUUGUGAGAUUAGCUCUAAAAUAUGUACAUA
rnacentral:rRNA from 1 species